UGUUGAAUAAGGUUGUUGUUUUGGGUUUUUUUGUCGCACAAAAAGUAUUCUCUGCGCUUUAUAAUAUUUAGGUUGAACCACUGUAGUCACAUUAACUGUUUUAAAUAUGUUUUAGUGGCUUUCUGGGCACUGAAAAAAGAAAUGAUCUUGCUAUAAAUGCAGGCUUCACUGAGCCUUUGAAUUUCAUCAAAAAUAUCUUAAUGUGUGUUGUGAAGAUGAACGAAGAUCUUACGGGUGUGGAACGACAUGAGUAAUUAUUGACUGAAUUUUCAUUUUUGGGUGAACUAACCCUUUCAAAACCACAAAGACGCUUUCAGAUAGCAUUCAUCACUUAAUGAAUAGACCAACAUGGCCAAACAAGUCAUACAAACUUUCCACCAAAAAACAGAUAAAAAUCAACCAAAGAACAAUUAUGCUCCAGAUGACGUUCCAUCCCAGGAUUCAAAGUGUGACUAGAAAUAUUGAAAAGAACAAAGAGGACAAUACAUUAGAUAUAUUACAAAACAUAAUAAUACUUUCAGAAACAGAUAGGGGAGAACAGAUACAGUCAGAGACAGAUAGAGGGAUACAGUCAGAGACAGAUAGAGGGAUGAGAGAUACAGUCAGAGACAGAUAGAGGGAUGAGAGGUACAGUCAGAGACAGAUAGAGGGAUGAGAGGUACAGUCAGAGACAGAUAGAGGGAUGAGAGGUACAGUCAGAGACAGACAGAGGGAUGAGAGGUACAGUCAGUGACAGAUAGAGGGAUGACAGGUACAGUCAGAGACAGA
ensembl:lncRNA